GGUGCGAUGGCCGAGUGGUUAAGGCGGUGGUCUCAAGUUCCACUGAUGAAGAUCUCAUGGGUUCGAAUCCCAUUCGCACCA
rfam:Fonticula alba strain ATCC 38817 unplaced genomic scaffold supercont2.10, whole genome shotgun sequence.